rnacentral:rRNA from 1 species
CCUACGGGAGGCUGCAGUGGGGAAUCUUGCACAAUGGGGGAAACCCUGAUGCAGCGACGCCGCGUGAACGAUGAAGCCCUUCGGGGUGUAAAGUUCUUUCGACAGGAACGAUAAUGACGGUACCUGGAGAAGAAGCUGCGGCUAACUACGUGCCAGCAGCCGCGGUAAUACGUAGGCAGCAAACGUUGUUCGGAAUUAUUGGGCGUAAAGAGUGUGUAGGCGGCUUUGUAAGUUUGGUGUGAAAUCUCCCGGCUUAACUGGGAGGGUGCGCCGAAUACUGCAAGGCUUGAGUACUGGAGAGGAUAGCGGAAUUCCUGGUGUAGCGGUGAAAUGCGUAGAUAUCAGGAGGAACACCGGCGGUGUAGACGGCUAUCUGGACAGUCACUGACGCUGAGACACGAAAGCGUGGGUAGCAAACAGGAUUAGAUACCCCAGUAGUC